rnacentral:rRNA from 1 species
AACGAACGCUGGCGGCAUGCCUAACACAUGCAAGUCGAACGAGACCUUCGGGUCUAGUGGCGCACGGGUGCGUAACGCGUGGGAACCUGCCUUUAGGUUCGGAAUAACUCAGAGAAAUUUGAGCUAAUACCGGAUAAUGUCUUCGGACCAAAGAUUUAUCGCCUUUAGAUGGGCCCGCGUUGGAUUAGCUAGUUGGUGGGGUAAAGGCCUACCAAGGCGACGAUCCAUAGCUGGUCUGAGAGGAUGAUCAGCCACACUGGGACUGAGACACGGCCCAGACUCCUACGGGAGGCAGCAGUGGGGAAUAUUGGACAAUGGGCGAAAGCCUGAUCCAGCAAUGCCGCGUGAGUGAUGAAGGCCUUAGGGUUGUAAAGCUCUUUUACCCGAGAUGAUAAUGACAGUAUCGGGAGAAUAAGCUCCGGCUAACUCCGUGCCAGCCGCCGCGGUAA